GAUGAAGAACGCAGCGAAAUGCGAUACGUAAUGUGAAUCGCAGAAUUCAGUGAAUCAUCGAGUCUUUGAACGCACAUUGCGCCCCCUGGUAUUCCGGGCAUGCCUGUCCGAGCGUCAUUGCUGCCCUCAAGCACGGCUUGUGUGUUGGGCCUCCGUCCUCCUCCCGGGGGACGGGCCCGAAAGGCAGCGGCGGCACCGCGUCCGGUCCUCGAGCGUAUGGGGCUUCGUCACCCGCUCUUGUAGGCCCGGCCGGCGCUUGCCGACACAUCAAUCUUUUUUCCAGGUUGACCUCGGAUCAGGUAGGGAUACCCGCUGAACUUAAGCAUAUCAAUAAGCGGAGGA
rnacentral:misc_RNA from 1 species